UGGUGAUAGAAAAAGAAUUUAAUGGAUGCAAAUGCAAAAGGAAGUGAAUGCAUGUGGGCUGAUAAAGAAAUAAAAGAAAACCUCUCUAAUUAUUCAUGAAGACACUCUCUGUCUUUUUCUCUGCUCUCUGUCCUUUUUAUAUUUCUCCAUCCCAAUCUGCUGUCUUUUUAGUAGCAAAGAGGCAGCCUGAAAUUAAUCUCAUCCUCUCUGUGUCCGUUUCAUCUUCUUGGGCUCUUUCUCAUCUUUGUUUGGUCUCUUAGCAACCCAGGAAGCAGUAGUGUGGAUGGCCCCGUCUUCAUUGGAGCGAUGAACUGGACGUUAGGCAUCAUCCCGUUACCAUGACAACGCCUUGUGGAGAGGGAUACAGCAAGUCAGAUUGGCUUGGGGGAGUAAUACAAGGAAUUUGGGAAUGUGCCUGGUUGUGUAAUGAUUAGUAACUGUUAUUGGAGCAGUGAUUUACGGUCUAAUUACACAGUAAGCAUGAUAAUCCCUAAUUGUGAAUCCCUCUCUGUGUUUGUGUUCUUUCUUCUCCCUACACUUCUAGAACUGCAAGCACACACAUAUACAUAGUUUAGGUAGAUCCCAUCUGUCAGUGAAAGCUGACAUUUGUGCAUUUGUGCGUCCCUGUGUGUGUGCUCCUGUUGCGCACCAAAUCACCACGGUGACCGGAGCUGUAACAGACUCUUUCCUUCCUUCCAACCUCCAUCUCUUGACUGAUUCACGCUGGCUAUCAUCUGUCGCCUCUUUUUCUUUAAGUACACUAACAGCAGAUUGAUUUUCAUUCAGCUUUUAAUAUGCAAACACUCUUCCUUUGUGCGGCGGGAACUUUUAUUAGAGAUUGUGUUUGGAAUCAUUGCCCUGCAGUUUUGUCUCUCAGAGGUCUUUGACUCCAUUUAUCAACAUGAGUUUAAGCCUUUAUUGAAAUGUUAUUUUAGCAAUUAUGGACAAUUAUUUUGGGCUGGAAAUUCCGAGCUGCAGCAAAAACACGGCCUGCAGGGAUUUGGAGUUAUAAACAGAACACAAAUUGGAACGUGGGCAUCAAAAUCCAAGAACUUUCUCCACAGCUAAACUCAAUAAUUGUCACACAUGAGGACCAGUCAGUGAUACGAGACUGUCCCAAAAAAUCUGAUUGAAAGCCGAAUAAAACUUUGAAGUUAUAUUUAACUCCUCAAUUGUGUUUGGGUCAAAAUUGACCCUCAUUUUUACACUUAAAAAAUUGGUCAAUUUUGACCUGAACACAGUAUAACAGUUAACACAAAUGCCAUGAACUAAAUUCUGUUAGUUCCCCAAACGUUUGUUAAGCAGGUCUAAAUGACCUGUUCAAAAAGAAAAAAAAAAAAAAA